AGGUGUGGAUUAAAAUCUGUCCACAGUUGAAGCUAUGGAACUCUGAAGUUGACUUCAAUGGGUUUUCACAAGUUUUCCAAGUGCUUUUGUCUUCAGCGUGAUUUUUGGAAAUACCAUGAAAGUGUUACAACAAAGGAGCCUCCUGCGUUAAGGACAUCACAUCCAUACAUUGCAGAAAAUGUGAACAUAAGCAGCUGCAAUAUGAGAUGAACUUUGAACACCAAAUAGAUUUUGGAUCAGGCCCAUGAAGAAUAUAGUCCAUUAUAACGACAAGCGGAAUGAUGAUAAUGCUGUGGAAUCACCCUUGGAGAGCAUUAAAGAAAAAAUUACGUUUUGCAUCCC